rnacentral:rRNA from 1 species
UACGGAAGGCAGCAGGGGGGAAUAUUGCACAAUGGGCGAAAGCCUGAUGCAGCUAUGCCGCGUGUAUGAAGAAGGCCUUAGGGUUGUAAAGUACUUUCAUCGGGGAGGAAAAAAACAAAACUAAUAAUUUUAUUUCUUGACGUUACCCGAAAAAGAAGCACCGGCUAACUCCGUGCCAGCAGCCGCGGUAAUACGGGGGGUGCUAGCGUUAAUCAGAAUUACUGGGCGUAAAGAGCACGUAGGUGGUUUUUUUAAGUCAGAUGUGAAAUCCCCUGGGCUUAACCUAGGAACUGCAUUUUGAAACUGAAAUACUAGAGUAUCGUAGAGGGAGGUAGAAUUCUAGGUGUAGCGGUGAAAUGCGUAGAUAUCUGGAGGAAUACCUGUGGCGAAAGCGGCCUCCUAAACGAAUACUGACACUGAGGUGCGAAAGCGUGGGGAGCAAACAGGGAUUAGAUACC